UCUCUUCUCUUUUCUUCUUCUCUUAUCUUCUUCUACUAUUUUUCUAAUUCGAUUUUUGUUGAAAUCAACCCUUGAUUUUUGCUCUUUCUCCCCUCCCCCAAUUUCAAACCCUAACUAUAAUUUUCAAUCUGUCAUAUCUCAGCCCCUUCUUUGUUCAACCUCUCAAGUCUUGCCACCAUUUCAUUUUUUUGUCAAGCAUUUCAAUUUUUGAGUUCCGUCCAUUUUUUACUUGCAACUGUAGAUCUUCUUGUUAGACUAAAAUGCUACUUUCGUUGGAAAAAAUGAUACUUUUCUUUGGUUUUCUUGGGGUAAUUUAUGUAGAUGUGUGUUGCUUGUUGGGACUGAGUUGGAUUUUAGUGUUUAUAUAUAUAAAUAUAUAUAAAAAAGGAUUCCUAUUUUCAUAUAUCAGUUUUUGUUCGUAUAUCUCUAUAUCUACUUGUAUAUAGAAGAAUAAUUUUUCAAUUUCGUCUACUUUGGUUAGUGUUUUAAAUUGAAUAACUAUACCAUGUUGUUGGAUAAUCUUUGAGAAGCAAAUUUAAUUAAAUUAGUUUCACAAAUACAAAGAAUCAAUUAGAGUAGCAAAAUUCGUUUUGGAAGAUUUACGAUCAAUUUGGUUCACUCUAAGGGGAUCAAUUUGGUUCACUGUAAUGGUUUUCUAUUUUGGUGUAAUGAGAAGAAAUGUGGUAUGGAAAUACUAUGGUUGGUUAGUUCUAUUACAUUUUCUUUUAUGAAUUUCUUAUUGCCUCCAAUCUUAACUAAAUUAACUAAAUGUAUUCACUCUUUGCUUAAUAUGCAUGAAAAGCUUCGGCAGACUCGUGAAUUAUAUGCCGCCUUUAAUGCAAUGUUAGAGAUAAAAGACUUGAUACUAAAGAAAACUUCUUUGUUAAACUCUAUAAAUUCACAAGUAUAGGCAAAGUAGAAUAGAAUAGCAUUAACUUGCCAUAUUAUUUUUUCCUCGUGUUUAUGCUUGUGAAUCUUGGAUUUGGGUCUUGUCAGUUACAACUAUUUACUUUUAUUUCCGUAUUUUACUUCCUUGUCUUGCUUUCUUUGUUGAUUUACUAACCUUAGAUGCAUUGUUCCUUUUGAUUUAAAUUUUCUUGACUUGUUUUUUAUAUUUGUUUUUGGUCGGCAAUUUCAGGGCAUUGAUGUAUUUUGCACAUUAUGAUGAUCCCAUUUCUAACGUAUUUUUAAUUAUUCUUUUAGUCAACCAAGUAUGGGAAUUGACAUUUUGAUGGAGUGACAUUUUGUUCCACUUCAUUCCAGUGAUCAGUGUACCAAACACUACCUUAAUUCUUCAAUAUUUCCUUGUGAAAAUCUACAGAAAUUGAAUGCAUCUUCAAUAAUCUUCAACCAAAUUUUGAGGAAUUGUGUGAUCUUAUCAAAAUUAGGGUGGCCAUUAGGGUGAAGUCUUAUUUAAAAGGGUAUUUUUAUUCAGCUACAGAGAUGGUGCAUAAUUUGUAGUAGGUAAGGAGGAGCAUUGGAUCUUCAAUCAGGCUGUAGAAGUUUUCUCAGAUGGAAUGAGCUAGCUAGAGUAUGAUAUGGUUUUGUGAUUUACAUCAGAUGUUAAAAUCAAGAGCAUUUCGGUUGUUGGUGGUAUUGAUGGAACAAGUCCUUCCAAUAUGAGGGCGUUUCACACCAAGACUCAUCUCCGCUUCAAUGACUUCCCGAGGUCUAAGAACAGUUAGAGUUAUUGGAAGAUACAUUGUGUGGCACUUGACUCACGUAUAUGUUACAAUCUUAUUUUUGUAUUUAUUUAUUUAUUGAAAUAAACAUCAAAUGUUUUACAUUUACUAUAAGCUUGAAAUUAAUUAUAUUGUAAAUGAUGAUGAUGAUGAUGAUGAUGAUUAUUAUUAUUAUUAUUAUUUGCAUAUACAAUCCUUUUGAGUACGUGAUGAUAUCUUCGCAUAUCAAUAUUGAAGCUUACAAUCUUAUUUAUUUAUUGUUUAUUUAUUGAAAUAAAUAUCAAAAGUUUUACAUUUUCUGUAAGCUUGAAAUUAAUUAUAUUGUAAAUGAUUUAUUUUAUUUUAUUUUAUUUUUUGGGUUUCCUUUUGCAGAUGCAACCCUUUUGAAUACGUGAUAAUAUCUUCGCAUAUCGAUAUUGGAACUUACAAUCUUAUUUAUUUAUUUAUUUAUUUAUUUACUGAAAUAAAUAUUAAAUGUUUUACAUUUUCUAUAAGCUUGAAAUUAAUUAUAUUAUAAAUGUUUUUUUUUUUUGUUUCUUU